CCUUUGACAACUCUAGAGAUAGAGCUUUCCCCUCGGGAAAAGUGAAAGGUGGUGCAUGGUUGUCGUCAGCUCGUGUCGUGAGAUGUUGGGUUAAGUCCCGCAACGAGCGCAACCCUUAUCUUUAGUUGCCAUCAUUAGGUUGGGCACUCUAGAGAGACUGCCGGUGACAAACCGGAGGAAGGUGGGGAUGACGUCAAAUCAUCAUGCCCCUUAUGAUUUGGGCUACACACGUGCUACAAUGGAUGGUACAAAGGGCAGCAAAACCGCGAGGUCAAGCAAAUCCCAUAAAACCAUUCUCAGUUCGGAUUGUAGUCUGCAACUCGACUACAUGAAGCUGGAAUCGCUAGUAAUCGUAGAUCAGCAUGCUACGGUGAAUACGUUCCCGGGUCUUGUACACACCGAGGACGCUGGGGGU
rnacentral:rRNA from 1 species